rnacentral:lncRNA from 1 species
ACUCUGCUAGCUGACGCCCUGGCUGCCCUCUUCCUCUUUCUUCUCGCACGUUCUUCAGUUCCAUGCACGCAUGGUUAUUUUGGUCAGAACGUGUUAACAUCAAAAUUUGGGUAAAUUUUCGUAUUGGAUUCGAAUAAGGAAAGGUGUAAUCGUAGAUAGAAAAUCUUAUCCACAAGAAGUCGAAUUCAAGAAGAAACUGUGAAGACCCAGGGCUUGGCGACGCAAAUUUAUCUAUUAAUUAGGAUUUUUAUUUUAUAUCUAAGAGAUUAGAGUCCGAUCGAGACUUAUUUGUUUCUUUUAUCUAUUAGAAACCGUGUCGUGUUAGAGAUAGAUUUUGUUAUUUCUUUUUAUCUGUUAGGAGCCAAGUCCGACACCGAUUAGCAUCCACCCGAGGGUAUAAAUAUGUAUGCCGCGGGUCAUUGUAAAUCAUCUACAUUAUAAUUUAGAUCAACUACUUUCGGUGUAUCGCCACCCUCUUCCUAGGUUUCAACUUCGGCGGAACUUGGCACCUGACGUGGGGUUGCAUUGCUUCGAUCUCCAGCGGAGGGG